rnacentral:sRNA from 12 species
AUGCCUUAUGGUAAAUAUAUUUUAAUUUCAUCAUAACUACCUUAAAAAAUAAUCAAAAAGGAGUUAUGAUAUAAU